GCCCCGGGGGUCAUGGCUGCAGAGUUUCAUCCAGUCAUGUUUACCUGCAAGGAGGCAGGUGUGGAGCAGGCAGCGAAUUAGGUAAGCUAGGAUUGGGGUUUUCCAAGCACCUGUGAUGAAAGAUGAAGCAAGGGGGCUACUGUGAUGUCAAAGCAUGGAAUCCAGGCCAAGUAUGGCUGUAAAAUGAGGUCAUGAGGGAGAGCGAGAGAAGGAAAAAAGCUGGUCAGAUCAGUGGAUUGAAGGUCUUGCGGGGCUUGGAAAAGUGAGGGCGUCAGAGACGUUGAGCUAGAGAGGCUGUGGUUGUAGAGAAGUGGGUGCUUGAAACUGCGGUUAAGAGCUCCACGGUGAAACUGAGGAUUUCCAACUCUGCUAGCUGUGUCGGAGCAAGCGAACUGCACUAACGAGCAUCGUGCCACAGUAUUUCCAGCCCUCACAAAUAUGAGGGCAUACCUGAAGGAAAUGACUGAAGGCAAGGGCUCUGGAAUCAGAUGGCUUGAGUUUAAAGCUGCACUCUUUACUUGCUGGCCAAGUGACCUUGGACAAUGUACUGAAAUGACGUCUUCCUCAAAAACCGUAUCUGGAAAACGGGGACAAAUUAGUAUGCCAUUCAUAAGGCUUUUGUGAGGAUUCGAUGACAUAAUCUAUCCAAAGUAUGUAA